ACUGCUUGAUCUGGUCGCGCGGGGCAGAAGGAACUGUUCUGGCGCAGGCAGCAGGUAUAAAUCCAAUUACAACGAAGAUGGAUAGAAAUCCUGUCCUGCUAUUUCUCAGCAGACAUGGAAGAUAAGUCUAUCUUUGAGCCGGAAUUAAGACGACAGACUACUCCCGCCAUCAACCAAAAGCGGGCAAGUUAAAACAGCAGAAACAAAUGAUCAAGAUGAAUUAUACGACCGACUUCUUCAGCGACAUAUACAAUACAGCACCGUAUCAGUAAGCUGUUUGUAACACACGCAGAGGAUUUUGCCAUCGCGUCUAACGGAGUUCUUCCCGCGGACUAUUUCUGGAAUUCGAUCGUUAUCAUGGAAAUGUACACUGACGUCCUACUUGUCACUGCAAAUGUUGGAUCAUUAUUCGACAAUGUGGGUGAGAUUGAGAGUGACUGGAUGCGAGAAUUCUUUGGGACAGUCCAGAGUCACAAACCACGCUUCAUCGCCCUGCAUUUCCAGGAGGUUGGAGGGAAGGACUACAUGGUCAACAUGGGCCAUGCAGAGAACUUCUUUUGUAACAUUGAGUCCAAUGAGGAGAUGAGGGACUUUGACAGGGUCUGCACCUAUGUGGACAACCACUUCAAGAACGUGGACAGCUUCACUGCCUUGGGAAGCAUGUACUUCAUCCAUAAGUCAUUGAAAAACAUCUACCAAUAUGAUUUUAAUGUUAAGGAUUUCAAAGCAGUGUCUGGACAGAACAAGUAUGUAGGCUCCCUGGAUGAAGUAACCACAGUGGAGAAAGAAAAAUUCCUGAAGAAUUUCUGGCCCGAUUUCAAAUGGUCUAGGAAGGGCUUUAUGAGGACCCGGUGGAUCAUUCACAACCAGGGUCUGGACCUAGUCAACGUACACCUCUUCCACGAUGCCUCCAACCUCAUUGCCUGUAACACCAGUCCCUCCAUUUACUCAGACAACCGCCAGAAGGCCCUGAGAUAUGUCAUCAACAGGAUAUCAGACAGCAGCUACACCCCACUCCCCUUCUUCCUGUUUGGGGAUUUCAACUUCCGCCUGGACACCCUUAGCCUGGUCCAGAACUUGUCCACUUCAGCAGUGGUGCAGACAGUGAAGAAGGACAGCAGUAAUGAGGUGGAAAAAAUUAUCUGUGAGCAAAAGGACAAUGACCACAAGGUUCUUCUCCAUAUUGAGACCAAGAUGUUUGCCUACCUGCACCAGGCAGUGUUCACAGAGGACAACGGCAGAGCGAUUCUGAAGUAUGACAAGGAGAUCUUAGCCUUUCAAGAUGUCAUUACAGAGGAAGACAUUCUGUUUCCACCCAGUUACCCAUACUGUGAGGACUACACUAAACCCACCCAGUACAUGAACACUCGCUGCCCCUCCUGGUGUGACCGCAUUCUCAUGUCUCACACUGCCCAAGAUAUCAUCCACAGGAGAGAUGAUGGAGCAAGCAGUGUUGUUUACAACACAAUGGGCCCUAAUGUCUGCAUGGGAGACCACAAGCCUGUUUUCUUGUCCUUUGCACUGAAGACGAAUGGCCAUUGACAAGGAUCCUGCUCAAUGCUACACCAAGCCCAAUGUGGGACCUCUGUUCAUUCAUUACCAGACAGAUCGCCGGCCAGAGAGACAUGCAUCGUGCAGAGCAGUGUAUUGGCAUUUUUACGCCUGUGAUUUUGUUUUGCUGCCUGUUAUAUGGCUUUUUCAUAGGAUGGUUCUCUCCUCUAUGAGGAUUCCUCUUCAGGAGGAUCUAGAGGUGAUGAAAGCCAUUUCAGAAAGGAAACACCACAUAAAAAUAUGUUUAACCAUUUAUUAAAGAAUUAAUAAUGCAAGUUUUGGCGAUAUAGGCUCUGCUCCUUCAGGGUAGCUCACAGCCCAAGCAAAGCAUCAAUAUAUAAAAUGACCUACAAGCAGUGAGCGUGGAUGGCUAUACCAAUCCACCAUCAGGAAAACAGAACCUAACAGGUGGAAGCUGGUUUGGUGGUGGGAGCAAACGCAUACUAGCAGUAGCAGCAAGCGGCAGUAGGAUGUUUGAACAGAACCUGUCAGUUUAAAUGGACCGCCAAAUAAGGUAUGCCAGUAUCUAUCCAACACAAGUCCCACUGGCCAUCACCAUCACACUCCCACUCCACUAUCUGUACCAGAGGAUAAACAGAACAGCUCCUAGCCAGUCACGGGACCCAGUCUCUCCCUGAUGUACAUGCAGUCAGUCAGUAUCCACCCAACCAGGUUUCUCAUGUUCUCCUCUCCUCUCACUCCAAGUUAUUGAUUGCCAUGGCUUGGGUGACAUCACCACAGAUUUGAUCAUCAGCAUUAUGGAUUUUUUUUGACGGACAAUUUGCUCUGUCCUGUGCUCGGCCAUAUAUCUUAAAUCGUCUGACCCCAAAAUACACAGAGAUGCAGGGGCAUUUUCUGGAGUCCUACCUUCAGUGCUCGACCAUUGGAACCAGAGUAUGUGUGGCAGUUUGCUGGAUGGAAUAGGGCCAACGAAAAGACGAUGGGACUGCUGGUCUUGUCAUGGAGGGCACCGGUCUGUCCCAAUGGGAUUAAAGAGACAUGUGAGGACACACACACUGGCAUCUUGCCAAGUAAAUACCCGAACUUCAGCUGAUCAAACGGUUUUCAAGUGUCAAGGGUCUACGGUUAAGUAUUCCUUCUGACAUCCCUGAAUGGGAUAUGCAUGCAUGCAUUUCAGUUGUAUUUUAGUAGUCUUUCAUUUUACCUAUUUAUUUUCUAACUUUUAACUGGUUACUAUCAAUAUAAGUAUGCUUAAAUCAAAUAUUCAGAAACACAAUAAACAAAAGCUACUACAGUAUUUCGAUGCAGCCUCAGCAUGUUUGGCCAGGUUGCGUCCCUCUUCAGAAUAGAGCAGUAGCAUAAUACACAUUUCUCUGUGCAUUCUCAUGUUGUGUUGUCUUUUGUUAAAAACAUACAUUUCACCAGUACAUACAGUGCCUUCAGAAAGUAUUCAUACCCCUUGACUUAUUAUGACUUUCAUUCUUCAAGCUCUGUCAUGUUGAUUGUUGAUCAUUACUAGACAGGCGCUAUUAAGUCUUGCCAUAGAUUGUCAAGCCGUUUUAAGUCAAAACUGUAACUAGGCCACUCAGGAACAUUCAAAGUAAUUUUGGUAAGCAACUCCAGUGUAGAUUUGGCCUUGUGUUUUAUAAAAAAUAAAUACCUUUUAACUCUUUUUUUCUCCCCAAUUUCGUGGUAUCCAGUUGGUAGUUAGUCUUGUCUCAACGCUGCAACUGCCGUACGAGAGUCGUGCAUCCUCCGGAACACAACCCAGCUAUGGUGCUAGCAAAGACUUAUAGAUGACCUGGAGCCAGUGGGUUUUGUGAUGAAUAUGUAGCGAGGGCCAGCCAACGAGAGCAUACAGGUCGCAGUGGUGGGUAGUAUAUGGGGCUUUGGUGACAAAACGGAUGGCACUGUGAUAGACUACAUCCAGUUUGCUGAGUAGAGUAUUGGAGGCUAUUUUGUAAAUGACAUCGCCGAAGUCAAGGAUCGGUAGGAUAGUCAGUUUUACGAGGGUAUGUUUGGCAGCGUGAGUGAAGGAGGCUUUGUAGCGAAAUUGUAAGCCGAUUCUAGGUUUAAUUUUGGAUUGGAGAUGCUUAAUGUGAGUCUGGAAGGAGAGUUUACAGUCUAACCAGACACCUAGGUAUUUCUAGUUGUCCACAUAUUCAGAAGUCAGAACCGUCCAGAGUAGUGAUGCUAGUCGGGCGGGCGUGUGCGGGCAGCAAUCGGUUGAAGAGCAUGCAUUUAGUUUUACUAGCAUUUAAAAGCAGUUGGAGGCCACGGAAGGAGUGUUGUAUGGCAUUGAAGCUUGUUUGGAGGUUUUUUAACACAGUGUACAAAGAAGGGCCAUAAGUAUACAGAAUGGUGUCGUCUGCGUAGAGGUGGAUCAGAGAAUCACCAGCAGCAAGAGCGACAUUAUUGAUGUAUACAGAGAAAAGAGCCGGGCCCGAGAAUUGAACACUGUGGCACCCCCAUAGAGACAAGAUUAGUAUUGUGGAGUGAGUAUAAUGUUGUUGAUCCAUCGUCAGUUUUCUCAUAUCACAACCAAAAUCACAAAAAUCCCUGAGUAGUUUCCUUUCUCUCCUCCAACUGAGUUAGGAAGGAUACCUCUAUCUUUUUAGUGACUGGGUGUAUUAAUACAUCAUCAAAAGCCUAAUUAAUAACUUCGCCAUACUCAAAGGGAUAUUUGACAGCGUCUGCUUUUUAUUUUUUUAUUUAGGCUUGCCAUAACAAAGGGGUUGAAUACUUAUUUGACUAAAGGCAUUUCAACCUUACAUUUAUUAUUAAUUUCAAAAUAAUUAUUUUAAAAAAAAAAAUCAAUUUUGACAUUAUGGGGUAUUGUGUGUGCAUCAGUGACACAAAAUCUAAAUGUAACCUAUUUUUAAUACAGGCUCUGACAACAAAAUGUAGAAAAAGUAAAGGGGUGUGAAAACUUUCUGAAUGCACUGUACAUACUAUCCCAGCUCAUCCCUCGAACAGUCUACUUUUCUUUUUUUUAAAUGCCACGCUGAGGUCUCUUUUCCUAACCUCCUUCCAUAACUAUGGUUAUAACUCAGCUUAAAUCAAUAAGAUCAUGUAAAAGACCAGUGGGACCAGAUUCAGGCUGGGAGCCCAUCAGGUCAGUAUGAAAAACGGAAAUGCCCUCCCUCCCCCAUCGGACCUCUAACUUGGAUUCCCACAGACUCUAAAGUAUAACAUCUACAUGCUGCUGAAUACUGAUUAUCACUGGGCUUUGCCUGCCUGCUACUCCACUCUGCUGGGUGUGCUCUCUGGCGGGUUGUACAUUGACAUAUUAUGGGGUGGGCCCAUGUAAUGGACAAACUUAUUAUGGUUCAACUGUAAGGUUAGUCCCUACUCUACAGGACAUUAAGUCAGGACACCAUGAUAGCUGGCAGUUAUGUAGUCUGUUUUCAUUUCUGAUGUGUAUUGCCUGUGGUACGCAGCUACGUUGUUACCAUCAAGUGCUUUAUUCCACAAACUAUGGGCUAGUCCUUUAAAGUAGCUCCUCAAAGUUUCAAAUAUUUGUUAGUCUUUUUAGAGAGUUGAGGAAUGUGCUAAUAGAGAUUUAUCUUGUUCAGGGGAACUGGCCGAAUGUUAUUUUGUUUUUAAUGAUGCAUUCACCUAAUUUUAACAUUCUGUCAUAAAGAGCACAUGAUCAACGUAAUAAAAAACACAAACAUCUCAAGAGGUUUAAUAAAACAAUUACUAUAGAAAGCGCCUAUUAAGUGCCAAAUAAAGUAACAGGGUUGACAAUUUAAUCUUACAGUGGCAAGAAAAAGUAUGUGAACCCUUUGGAAUUACCUGGAUUUCUGCAUAAAUUGGUCAUCAAAUUUGAUCUGAUCUUCAUCUAAGUCACAACAAUAGACAAACAGUGUGCUUAAACAAAUUAAUGUAUUUUUCUUGCCUGUAUUGAAUACAUCAUUUAAACAUUCACAGUGUAGGUUGGGGAAAGUAUGUGAACUCCUAGGCUAAUGGAGUCAGCUAACCUGGAGUCCAAUCAAUGAGACGAGAUCGGAAAUGUUGGUUAGUGCUGCCUUUACCCUAUAAAAAACACUCACAAAAUUUGAGUUUGCUUUUCUUCGCAAUAAGCAUUACCUGAUGUGAACCAUGCCUCGAACAAAAGAGAUCUCAGAAGACCUAAGAUUACAAGUUAUUAACUUCCAUAAAGCUGGAAAGGGUUUCAAAAGUAUCUCUAAAAGCCUUGAUGUUCAUCAGUCCAUGGUAAGACAAAUUGUCUAUAAAUGGAGAAAGUUCAGCGCUGUUGCUACUCUCCUUAGGAGUGGCCAUCCUGCAGAGAUAACUGCAAGAGCACAGUGCAGAAUGAUUAAUGAGGUUAGGAAGAAUCUUAGAGUGUCAGCUAAAGACUUACAGAAAUCUUUGGAACAUGCUAACAUCUCUGUUGACGAGUAUACGAUACGUAAAACACUAAACAAGAAUGGUGUUCAUGGGAGGACACCAUGGAAGAAGCCACGGCUGUCCAAAAAAAACAUUGCUGCGCGUCUUAUGUUCCCAAAAGUGCACCUGGAUGUUCCACAGCGCUACUGGCUAAAUAUUCUGUGGACAGAUUAAACUACGGUUGAGUUGUUUGGAUGGAACAUACAACACUAUGUGUGGAGGGUUCACAUACCCUGCACUGUGAAUGUUUACACGGUGUGUUCAAUAAAGACAUGAACAAAUAUCAUUGUUUGUGUGUUAUUUGUUUAAGCAGACUGUGUUUGUCUAUUGUUGUGACCUAGAUGAAGAUCAGAUCAAAUUUUAUUACCAAUUUAUGCAGAAAUCCUGGUAUUUCCAGAAGGUUCACAUACUUUUUCUUGCCGCUGUAAAUCAGCCGCAAAUCCCCUUGUGACGGGGAAUAUAAGCUUGUUGUGUUCAACAGAGUGGAAAUUGAAUGCAAGCUUCACCCAAAAAAUGUAAUUUAAAAAAAUGUAGACUGUCUAUAUGUGGGUAACAGGGUUGACGUGUUGUUCUCGACCCGCUCAGUUCUCCACCACAAAACACCAGAAAAUGGACAAAAAGAGUAGAACCAGCUCAACUGCUUUUACACUGAUAUGAAAAUUAGAUGUUCAUUUUUCUUUUGGAAAAAAUAUAUUUAAAAAUGAGUAGUUUAACCAUAUUAAAUGAAGAGUUCAGUUCACGUAACAGGGUUGGCCUUAAAAUGAGUAACGGACAUAAAUGAAUUACUAAUCACAUUAAAUAUAUUAUCUUCAGAAAUGACUGUCAAAGCAACAAAAUAGCUAGGGCUUUACAAUGAUGGUGAAAACUUGGAGAAGUGUUGGGGUUAAGUGGGUUAAUCUUCCUAGAAGUCACAGAGGGUACACGGAGAGAUGUUUAGAGAGUCUUUACUCAUCUGAUUUAUUGACUUAUCUGUGUGGUCUAUAUUAAAGGGCACUUCAUUGAAUAUAACUGGCUUUUAAAAUGAAAUAUUUGUGCAUCAUCUAUUCUAAAAAUAUCAAAUGGACGCAAAAGGCACUCAUUUCGUGGAACGACCCAUCUAUUGUUUUACUGUUUCAGUUACUGUGAUCAGUUUAACUUCUGCCAAAUCACUAUAACUUGUUUACCAUACAAUUAUUUUAAAUGAAUGUGUCUGGAAUGGAUGUCUGAUAUCACAGCCACACACAAAAUCACAUGCACACCCAGGCACAUGCACACCCAGGGACAUGCACACCCAGGCACAUGCUCACACAAACACACGCAAAGUUCACAACAUUUUAAGCUUGAAACCACUAUAUUAUUUUGGUUGAAGUUAUUUUAUUGAUUUGAUCUAUUUUCCGUGUUCUAUGUUGAUUUGUGCUGCAGCAGAUCUUUGUUCAUUGUCCAUCCUCUGUAUUUUCUAUGAAGUGGAUGGCUGGUUUGCAUCAUUUUGUUUUAUUACAGACUAAUUCAAAGACUUUUAAUAUAUAAUCAUGGUUUUCAUAUUAUUUUAUAGUUGUAUGUGUUAUUCAGAAUCCACAAUGCAUAUUAAUGACUUAUUUAUUUGACUGUUAUACUCCCUAUAUUUUGAGGUAGAAAAUGCAUAAUUUGUAAUCAAUCUUCCUCUAGUAUGUGUUGACUGAUUUACACUCAAUCUGCUGUGAAGUAAUUGUAGACUGAUAAUACCAGGAUUCAUUAGUUCAAAUGUAUAGAUCCUUUUAAUCUGUACCCUCUCAAAUUUCCUUACGUUUGUUUACAAUUAAUGAUUGAUGUGUCUGCGUGGAAAGUGCAAGGCCCACCUGUCAAUAACAUAUUUGUAGUAGUUGAUUCAUGGUAUGGUCAACAUAUUCUAAUAAUGCCCUCCGGGGAAUGCUCUUGGUUUGGAGUUCAACAUGAGGCCAGUAGUAUUGUUAGAUGGAGUGGACUAAUGUUUGUCAUUUCUGGUCGAACACAAACAAACACUACAUUCUUGUAAUGCUUCCAGUUUUGUAAAUAAAUGUUGACCACUGCAAUUACAA